rnacentral:sRNA from 1 species
GAGAAUUCAACUGCAGAAAGUUCUGGGGCCAAGUUGUAAGGUGCUGGUACUCAGGAAUCAUGGUGUGGUUGCACUUGGAGAAACAUUAGAGGAGGCUUUUCAUUAUAUUUUUAAUGUGCAGCUAGCCUGUGAGAUUCAGGUAGGAAACGUUAUUCCCCUUUUUUAAUUGCUUUGUUAUUUGCUCAUUUAGUUGGAUUUUGUGUACUUAUUUGCAAAUACAUAUUAGUUAGUGGCUUUUUGUCUUUUAAGAGAAGUUUUGCUCUAC